UUCAUUUCUUUUCUAGGUUGAAUGGCGGAGGCCGACUUUCAGCUUGCAUUAAUUGCAACUCUUAAGGAAAGAAGACUUAUCUAACCCAUUUGAGAAAAACUGCUCAUGGAAUAUUGGGACGAAGCACUGGAACAGAAGACCACAGACCUGGGUUCCGGAUAACUCCAUCGUGAUGACCAGAAACAAUCCAGGACACGUUCCAGCCUCCAUUUCCUUGUCUGUGAGAUGGAUGGAGACGUCCCUAAGGCAUUGAAGCUGAACCCACUGCCAGCCGUGAGACCUGAUGGGACCUCUCCUCUCCUUUGAAAGGACUCCAGGCAAGAUAAUGUCCCAGCCACUUUACUCCUGGAUGACAUAGAAGUCACCUGGUGUCCUGCGGGUGGCAUGGCAUAGAGAAUGGAACUAAGGCCCUCUGCCCAGGUGGAGGAUGACAACUUCAGGCUGAGCACAAGAUUCGUGGAGCACCGCCCUGUGACCUCACAGCAACCAAUAGAAGAAAGUCACGCAACCUGCAGCCCUCACUCCACAUUUUGCCUGUAAAAACUUCUCCCUGAAAAUCAUCCAGGAGUUUGGGGGCUUUGAGCAUGAGACACCAUUCUGCCUGCUUGGCCCUCUAAUAAACUUUCUCGGCUCCAAAUUUCGACAUCUGUUUGCUUGGACUCAACUCUUCAUGGGGCAUGUGAACUUGCAUUCAAUAACUCUUAUAAGAAGAAACCUGGAUACACAGGGAGACAGCAGGAAUGCAGGUGCACAGAAGGAAGACUAUGUGAGGAUACAGUGAGAAGGCAGCCAUAUGCCAGCCAAGGAGGGAGACCUCAGGAGAAGCCAAACUGGCCAACACCUUGGUCUUGGACUCCCAGCCUCCAGAAGUGUAAGAAAAUAAACAUCUGCUGUGUAAGCCCCCAAGUCUGUGGUGCUUGGUCAUGGCAGCCUGGCAGACUGACACAGUGCCCCCCUCACAGGGCUUGAGUGUGUGGAGGAAGACAGACAAUAAUUACACAAUCAAUUCUUUCAUGACCACUGUGCCAGGUACUAGGAAGGGAAAGGACAGGGUGCUUUGAAGGCACCCAAAGAACAAAAGUGGACAGAGGGAGUCCUGAAGCCCAGCCGCAGAGGCGCAGGGAGCUCAGAGAAGAGGCGGACCUGGGUGGACCCUGCAAGUGGUGGGCAGAGAGGCUGACCAAUGGGGAGCUCCAACUACAGAGCCCCCUGAUGUGGCCGGAUGAAGUCAUGCUCCAUCUCCACGGCAGUGUGGAGCUAUUUCAGGUUUCCAAGCAGAGAAGAAGCACAAGGACAGCAGGACUUUGGGGAGAUUUUUCUUGCAGGCACAUGCUGAGGGGCUGCAGGGCUCAAGGCAUGGAAAGAGGGGCACAGGGAGGAGGGCUGAACCAAGGUGGGGGCCGGCAGCAGGAUAAGAGGGGAGAGACUGCACACAGAAAUCACUGUGAAGAAGUGACAGGUAUUGGUGAUUGACGGGAAGCUCUUUUUUAAUUACCUUGUCCAUGCACCGGUCCAUCCAGUGAUGCUACUGACCUACAGGAAGGCCCUCCACAGACCCAUCUCCAGGGUCGGUGGUGACCAGGGCGCCCAGUGUCGUGUGAGGGCCUUAAAGACCAAAUGGGGAGUUUAUCUGAUACCUUCCUUCUCCAUCCCCUGGGUUGUACAGUGCUGAGACCCACAGAGCUUCCCAAACCUGUGCAGUGGGUAUCAUCUGAACAGUGGUGGGAAGGUACUGAUCAUGGCUUGGAGACUCAGUGAGGAUACUUGGACAAUGUCCAUAAAGUCAUAUUGCAGAUUUCUCUCUGAGGAUCUUCCAACAUCUUGCUGCAUUUUCAGCUGUUCACAGCCGGGAUGGGGGUGGGGGUUGGGUUAAAAAAAAAUUCUUAAAGGAACUGAACCUCCCAUACCUCCCCAUGAAGGGACACUCCUAUCUGACUGACAGAAGUGGCCAGGAGUCGCUUAGAUCUGCUGGAAAGGAAAUGAAAACAGGAAAAAUACUGAGCUAACAUUUCAGAGCGCCUGUUGGCAGCCAAAGCCCAUUGACUUGCAGAAACAGCCAGAUGGAGAAAGCUGUAGAAAAUGUGUCCUGGACUGUCAAGUGCAGGAUGAAGUUUGUCACCAAUGUGAAGGAGGGGGGAUGCCAAGCCCCUGGUCAGGAAACCAUGGUUCUAUAAGCCAAAGUUCACAACUAUAGAGAGCUACCAAGGCCAAGGCUACCACUGCAGGGCACAGACAGGAGAAUGUCAGCCUCGUCUGCCCUCCGUCAGUGGCUGAUGGCUAAUCUGGAGAUCAAGUUAGAGACACUGACCUACUGUAGAGCACAGGGAACUAUAUUCAAUUUCUUGUAAUAACAUAUAAUGGAAAAGAAUUGGAAAAGAAAAAAUAUAUAUGUAUGUAUAUGUGUAACUGAUCACUUUGCUGUACAUCUGAAACUAACAUUGUAAAUCAAAUACACUUCAAUAAAAAAAUUUUUUAAAAACCUAAAGACACUGCUCUCUG